rnacentral:rRNA from 1 species
UACGUAGGUGGCAAGCGUUAUCCGGAUUUACUGGGUGUAAAGGGCGUGUAGGCGGGUCGACAAGUUGGAUGUGAAAUGUACCGGCUCAACUGGUACGCUGCAACCAAAACUGUCGAUCUUGAGUGUUGGAGAGGAUAGUGGAAUUCCUAGUGUAGCGGUAAAAUGCGUAGAUAUUAGGAGGAACACCAGUGGCGAAGGCGGCUAUCUGGACAACAACUGACGCUGAGGCGCGAAAGCGUGGGGAGCAAACAGGAUUAGAUACCCUGGUAGUCCACGCGGUAAACGAUGAAUACUAGGUGUAGGGGGUAUCGACCCCCCCUGUGCCGCAGCUAACGCAAUAAGUAUUCCACCUGGGGAGUACGGCCGCAAGGUUGAA